ensembl:lncRNA
AAAUGCCAUGUCCCAGAAUGUAGAGCUGCUUUCUGCAGAGAACAUUUAUUCAUUGAGGGCCUCCAAGGCCACUGUGUGAGCAGUAAUAUAAUCUGACUGUGGCUGAACGUAAAUGAGGGCAGCCAUUCCACCAAGUCUUGCAGCUGCUGACCUCAGUAAGGCUGUGUUUACAGCAAGUCACAGAAAGGCACCAGACACAAGAACAGGUGGCUAUGAGUUGUGUGAACAGCCUACGGGGUUUUAAACAGUUCUGAUUUAUUCAGUGUGACAGUCCCUGUAUAAUAAGGUUGGACUUGGAGAUUGAAAGAAAUAUGAAGUUUCCACUUUUUUAUGUGUGUGAAUAUGAUAAGGAAAAUAGGUUAUAGCUCUUCAUGUAAGUGAUUGGUAUGUGUUCCAUCAUCACUUCAAGGUUCUGAACAGCACUGCUUGUGCACACAUCCUGUUUCCCCUAUUAUUUCAUGGUCUCUCAGCUGACAGAGCUCAGGUGGAGAUUCUCAUCUCUUGAAUGUCUUCUAAUCUUUCCAAUUUGCUGCUUUCUACCAUGGUGGUCAUAUUCCUAAUAAAUAGGCACUACUGAAAUGAAUUGUUAAGCUGUCUUUUUUCUGUCAUACAACCUUUCUAUUUACCUGGAUUUUAAAAAAUUUAGAUCCCAGUCUUUCAGUCAAACCAAUGAAUUCAGUGGAUCUGUAGAAGAGCAUCACAGUUCCACCAGAAGAAAUAAAUGUCUUUACCGGAGAGCUCACUUUAAUGAGAAUCUUUCAAGCUUAUUGUUCCUAUGCUACUAAAGAAGGCUGAACAUAAAGAGCAGCCUAACUGGUUCUAUUUAUUACCUUCAUAUUAGAAAUUAGGAGGUAAAAAUACAGAAUGUAUAUAUAUAUAUAAUAUAUAUGUAUAUAUAUAUAAACUUUGUGUGUUUAUAUAUAUAUAUAAAACUCUUAUAUAUAUAUAACUUUGACAACUCAGCAAAACUGUGUUCCUGUUGAACUGUUCUCUGCUAGAGGUUUCUUUCAGAGCAGCUUCUCUUCACUGACUUGUCAAUGGGGCUGUGACACAGUCAUACUGGCACAGAGUAUGCCAGGCUCCUCUGCUCUAAAAUGGUUCUAUAAAAGCCUCUAAGUGCACUUCUCAGUCCUUCAAUGAAGAAGUCUGAACUUCACUUUCAGCAGUAAGAAAAUGCUUGGUAGUACAAAAACUCUUUCAAGUUCUUCACAUUUCACUGUACAUUAGUUAUUAUUUACUCUUACCUUCAUACCUAUGAAGCCAUGUAUGAGCCUUGAUAUUACCUGGGCCUUUCUGGAUGGGCCAUUGCCAUGGUAUCCCUGAAUUUUCCCACCUUCAUUCCCCAUCUGGUUUAUUCUCUCUGUUCCACAGCAGAAGAUUCCUGAAAUAUGUUGAUUUAGAUUUAUAUUCCCCAUAAUUAUGGCUGCAGACUGUUUUCUAUACUUGUCUUCUGCCAGCCCUUCAUUCAGUGGAGACAUGGGAAAAAUCCUUUCUUACUUGCUCGAUGAGCAGCUGAGUUUAUACCUUGCCUCAAAGAGUCAGCUGAAACUCACAGUACAGACAGUCUGAAACCAUUCAGAAGCGGUUUCAAUGAUAUGCACGUUGGACUCUUCCCAGAUGAAGUAUUGGAUGCCCUUGGGAGUGCCUGUAAUUAUUAGUAGCUAUAGCAUUUAAAUAUAAUGAUGACCAAUAAGGCUACCCAAAAAUUCUACAAAGUGAGAAAGAUCAUAUUGGAACAUCUCCAUCAUCUGUAAAAACACAACUAUUCAGUGAGCGUUAGCUGGCUUCUGUCAUUAGUCAACAUGAUUUUAUGCUAAAGAAAGUAAAAGCUGAAGGUAGCCCAGUGAUUUUCCAUGUGAUAUAUAUAUUUUCAUUUUAUUCAAAGCCCCUGCUACUUAGCCUCUUUUAUCCUAUCUAUUUUUUAUUCACUAACAACACUCUGUCACCACCUUUUAGGAUCACACAAGCACUAGCAGUACUGUAAGCACCCUUAUUCAGCAAAACACAUAUGUUCCGAAGUUUCACAAGCCUGUGCAGCAAGAAUAGUUAUAGAAUGAUCUGGAAAAAACUCAUUUUUCUUGAAAUUCUGUCUAGCAAGACAGUGUUACUGAGGCUAUAAUAAUAAUAUAGAAAAUGUUUUGGCUUUUAUAUAUUUUUUCAUCUCGGUAAAGAAUCACUAAGAACUCUCUGUGCCUUAUGAAGUGAUGGAAUCACAUUUACAUUUGAUAUAAGAAAGGUAUAUGAAAGCAGGUAUAAAAAAAUGAUGCAACUUAAGAGUUAAGCAAUCAGAACCUCUCAGAAUAUAAUUUUUUUAUUUAAAAAAGCCAUACAUGUAUCUAGUGAAGAGGCAGAGAAGAAUUUGAGCAGCACCAUUUGUUCCAGCAGGAUUCUAUUCACCUAUCUUCUUCAUCCAUCUUCCUUUUCCAUUUAUCCUGGCUGGGUGGGAAUAUAGGCAAUAACAGGCAGUGAGGGAAGGUAUUUUUGUUCCAUAAAAAAUCAGUAUCACUCAUUUAAACAUCAAGAUGCUGCAGCUUUCUGGGCUCAUUUUGCAUGUUGAACUAAGUUGCAGUGCAUAUUUUCUUCCUCCAUUUGCUUAUUUUAAGCUCCAGCUAAUUACAACUGUUUAAUAGUCUGACUAAGAUCACCCUGUGGAAACAUUAGAAAAAUAGCCUUUUGCUUAGAAUUGUGACUACAAGAUACUUUUAAGGUGAAUGUGGAGACUUCAGUGCUGUGUGUAUACCCAUAAGGCACACACAAGUGCGCUUAUGUAUACACAUGCAUACCAACACAAGGAAAACAACAAAGAACACUUUUCCUGUCCUUAUGGUGAAGAAUUUAAUGAUGACAAAGUAUGAGUGAAGUGUGAAUAUAAAGGCUGCUGGAAGCAUGAGGCAGCUUUAUUCCACUGUAUUGAUCCCUAUCCCUUUGUGGAAGAAAAUUUCUGGCUUGUUCACAGUACUCCCAAAUUUCAAUUAACUCCCUUUGCAACUGCUUUGUGCAGUUAAUUUCUCUAAGCCACUGGUUAUCUUUUUGCUAUGGAUUUAUACAGUGCUUAGCAUCACUGAUGCUCAUUAUUUCUAUAAGUGAACAGUGAAUAAGCUAUGGAACAGAGUAUCUUUUAACUGCUGUAAAUGCAUUAGGUAGCAUUCAUCACUGACAUACUGUUUGCCAACUCCUUUGUGGAAGGACAUUCUUUUUUUCUUUCCUUCAGAUUUUCUCAACUCAGAGAUUCUUGAACUACUUAUUGAAUUCCAACCUGCAGUUCACAAAUCAACAAAUCAUUCAGAUGCUGGCCUGAUUAAAUAAUAACAAGACCAUUUUCAUAGAAAUGGACUCAUCUUUAUGCUACCUUCGGAAAAAAAAAAAAAAAAAAAAAGCCCCACAAUCUAAAAAUAUUCUUAUUUUAGAAUAGAGGUUUGAAUUUUGUAGCAAGCAAUGUUCUUGUAGCUGAAGAAGAUACUUAAAUUGUUUCAGAAUAGGAGACUCAUUGUUCUGAAUUGGGAUCCUGAAUUGUCAUUGUUUGUGCAACUGAGUGCCGAUCAUCAGAAUGUACUGCUUCUGUUACAUCCUAACAGACUGAAUUUUACUAUGUAGAGCUUAUGGAUGUAUCUUAGACUAAGACCAAAUGCCCAAUAAUUGAAAAAAGCUGAAAAAUAUAUAGAGCUGAAAUAAAAUAUUUUGGUGCUCCUAUACAAGAGCGUUUCAUUUUCAGUCAUUUUGUUGACCCAAAUACUUCAGUUUGACUUCUGCAGUUCUAUAUCACAUUACCCAGGAAACCACACCACCAAUAAUAGUUGGUGUUUGAUGAUUCUUUUCUGCUUUUGGACUAGAUUUCCUGGCAGACGUACAUAUUUAUCAUUUACUCGAGUUAAGAGGCAGCUUAAUUUAUUGAACAGCUUUGGUAAAAGCAUGACUGCAGUGCAUUAUUUUAUCUGAGUAAUUAUUUUUUGGAAGCCACAGGUAAAUUGCAAGAGAAUAAUGAAGCAUUAUAGUUUAAGAGAUCUAUUAGGAAAAAUAACAUUUCCAGUAGCAUUUUAUGCUAUCUUUUCUCAGCUGUGUAUUUCUGCUGUCAAAAGCUUCAUUUUUUUGUUGUUGUUAGAAACUGUAAUUAUCAAUUUCACUUCAAUACAUCUCUGUUUUUCUACCUCCAUUCCUAAAAUCUGUGCGUCUACAGCUGAAAUUAAUUGCAGUUUAUUACUUGUCUAUAAAUGAUUCCAUAUUUACCAACUUCUUGCUGUAUGUUCAAAUCUGUUUCCACAAGAAAAGUGUUUUCUUUCCAUCACAUAAAAAAUAGAAACGAAUAUAACAAAGUCAACAAGCUUUAGAAGCUGGAGAUAGGGUUUGAAGAUUAACCAUUAUGCAAUUAUGAACCAUGUAUGCCAAUGUUGUUGAAUAUCUCAGCAUGCAAUACUUUUCUCAAAUUUUAACCCUUCAGUAACUCAAGGAAUCACAGAAUUAUAAAAUAGAAGAGGGUGGGAAGGACUUCUGGAGGUUGCCUUCUCUAAGGCCAACUUUAAAGUAAAAUUACUGGACCUCAUCUCAGUUGAGUUUGGAUAUGUCCGAUGUGGAUUCUAAAACUUCUCUGAGUAAUAUCUCUUACUGUUUGAGUGCUCUCAGCGUGAAUAAUGUUUUUCCUUAUAUCUAAACACAAUCUCCCUUGCUGCAAUCUGCAUUCAUUCCUUCUGUCCCUUUCAUCUCCAAAAAAAUGCUGUCUCUAUCAUCUACACCCUCUCACUAGACAGUCUUCCUACCUAGAGUCUCACCAUAGCUUUCUCUUCUCCACGCUGAAUAGAUCUUGCUUUCUCGGCCUCUCCUUGCACAUCAUAUGCUCCAGACCUCUAACCAUCUUGGUGGUCUUCCAGGGACUGAUCUACUUUAUCUUAGUGUUUCAUUAGCUAUAAGGUGUUCUAAGUUUAUUGCUUUGUCAAUAACUUCAUGAAUGUCAAUGACAAUAAAAGACCACAUAAUAGAAAGCAGAUUGUGAAAACAUGCAAAUAACAUUGGGUCAAUGAAAGUGUCCUCUUUUCUGUUUUUUGUCUCCCUUAGAGAAUAUGAUGUAAUUCUAAAAUUCUACUGGCAGAAAAUGGAGAGGCAACUCUCUUUUGGAGAGAUGCCUCAAGAUUUUCAUGUAUUCAAGGCUGAUAUCUGCCUCCUGAGACCCUUUCAUUUAUAAGGAAAAGUGACCAGGAAGCUUUAUAGUUUUGAAUGUAAUUGAACAAAAGAUAUUUGUUGGCUUAAUUAUGUAUCACGUCCUCUAUAGCAUGCAUGCUGUAUAAUUGGUAUAUGAGUGUCAGCUGUAAGUAUUUAUUUUUCAUUAAUUUGUAAUCUUAGAUUCCUUCAAUAUUAAUCACCAUCGUCAGCUCUGCUAUCAAAAUUAAAUUUUAUCAAAUUUUUAGCCUUAGUAGUACAGCUUUCUCCUUCAUUAAGAAUCAUCAGGUAGACAAUAACUUCAGUUGGCCUGUCCUUUCAGUCUCAGGUGAAGUAAUCUCUUGCACGCUUUAUGAGAGAAGCUAGUUCCUUUAACAAUAAAUGCUACAAUAAUACAAAAAUAAUGAAAUAUAAAGAUACUGUUGGUCUAGCAGUCCCGUUGGGGUGUGAAUAUUCAUAAUUGCCUUAGUCACUCUCAGUUCCUUUCCUUUUUGGCUAUAUUCUUCUGCCUUCAAGUUGUUCAUCCUCUCAAUUCAGAGAAAAACACAUUUCUUUCUCAUUGCACUGAAUGGUUCUCCUUAAACACUCCUCUAAACAGCAUAAUCUCUAUCAGCAGUAUAAUAAAGCAAAGCCUCAUAUGAGAUAAAGUACUGCUAUUUUUAUAAAUGCAAACUGGAUUAAAAUUCAGAGUCCUGGUAUGAUCCCUACUUAUAAACUUUCAGGGUCUGCCAGAAGAAAAUAGCUUAUUAAUGUAUUUCAAAGCUCUCACUCACACAUAGUACGCAGCCAAUAAAAAAUAGUAAUUCCCAUGUGAAUCAUAAACAAGAAGCAAACUCUUCCAAAUGAAGCAACAGCAAUGCUUAGUGCUGCAGGUUUUAAAUUUAGCUCAAUCUUAGGUCAAUACAAAAGAAUAAUCACUUUUAAUCUUUUGGGGUUAGGUUUUGCUAAAUUUCUAGGUUUCCACAGGAUUAAUUUUACAUUGGGAAGAAAAUUUGAUCAGCAAUUAUGUUCCUUAAUGUUGCUUUCCAAAGGUUUAUCUGACUGAUUAUUCUAUGAAUUUUAAGCUUGCCUUUGUUCCAGGGAGAAAUGAACCAAAACAAGAGGUGGUAAUCUCUGCACUGAUACUGAAUCCAACACUCUGGCUGCCACCUGGAGCUUGCUGUUCAAAUAAAUGAACAUCAUGUAGGGCAGUUUAUCUGCCUUGUUGCUUCGAAGGCUGGAGCUUCCUUUCCUGCCCCUCAAAUGUGUCUCUAUGGUCACAUGAUGUGCUUUGUUAUUAAAAGCAACAGUGGCUAUAUGUAUUUCCUGCGUAGCUAUAUGUAAUAGCUAAUGCUCUUUAAUUGGAUAUGGACUUUACGGAGGAAUAUCUACUGUGGUAUUCUGCCUUGAAGGACCUCAGACACGAAACAGCACUUCUGUAUGACAGAGGGAAAGCACUCAGGCAAGCACCAUUAAUCUACCAAAAAGUACUGUGAAUGGUGAAGCGAACUUCAGAAAUUAUACAGUUGGUUCUACAACUCUGUCUCUGGAAAGUUAGCCAAAAUAGAACAAAGUGACAGUUUGCACCUUCAGGUGUACAGGGUCUCCUGCGUAGCAACUCGUUACCCUUGAAGAGUUGUUGCAGAACGCAUGAGGAGUUGAGAGAAGUCUCUGAGAGGCUGGAAGACAGCAUGGACAUGCAAGUUGGGAUGAAAACCACAUCCUGAACUCCCAAAAAAAGAAAGUUGAGAAAGCUACAAGGAAGCUCCUUUCAUCUGUAGAUCCUUUGAGGAGAUUUGUACUGUGUGUACUCACACAGUGCAUGUUGAACAGACAACUAAGAUGCCAGCUCUAAAAAUGUUCCUUCCUAUUCUGUAUCAUUAAGCUAUUGCUAAAUAAUCUAGUAAUUCUCCUGAAAUAUGGCAUGCAGUACAGGAAAGCAAGCUCUCAAAGUCCCUUGUUAUCAUUUCACCAAAGCUCAGAAAAGAGCCCCCAAGGAAGCAGGAUGCCUGAGCUCUGACCCUGCUGGAGCAGAGUGGAGAGACUGAGCAGUGGUUGAGUCACCCCAUUUGAAAACAAAUCUAUAUCUAAUUAGUGAAUCCUUGCAAUAGCCCUGGGAGGUAUAUAAAUAUUGCUGCUCUGUUUUACAGGAAACUGAGAUGGAAGGGGAUGAAUUCUUCUGUGUUAUAAAAAAUGCCAUUAACCAGUUAAAUGAAGGCAAAUUAGCUACUGAUGUGCUUUGAUUGUGCCUUAUAAAGCACAACUUACACCCCACCUGAUUACAAUUUCAGCUUACAUGCUCAUAUUACAGAGUAUUUUUUGUAUUUACUUUUUUUAACCAGUAUUUACCUUUUUUUUGAUCCAGUUCUUUACAUUUUGUUAACUUUCACAGCCUACUAACAGUGGGAGUGUUCUCCGAUCAAAGGAAAAUCACUGACUUGCUGGUAACUAGGUAUCCAUUCACUCCUAAUUCCAGGGAAGUAUGUAAUGCAAGAUGAAAUAAAUAGCAUCUCAACAUAGCACAGCAGAACAAGCAAGGUGCAAAUCUAGGUACACUGGUAAUGUUUAUGAGUGGAGGAUGGAGGGAGUUUUCCUUGUCUCCUUGUGGAGCUGAAAAUAAAAACAAUAUCAAUACAAUAAGUAACGUGGAGGAAAAUUUUUGUGCUCUGAAUAAUAUUGGACUCAUCGGUCUCUUCUUGGUUGAUUGUGAAUUUGGCUGAUCAACUUACUGAGUGAUCAUUUGAGCAUUUUAAAAUAUAUUUCUUUUAGCAAGCAAAAUAAUAUUAUCUGUUGGUGAUUCUGUAAUCAGAUUUGAUAAGAACCACAACACUUUGCUGUUAAGAUGACAGUGCUGCAUAUAUAAUCAUACGAGAAUACCAUGUGUUUCUUGCCACUGCUCAGUCCAGAACACCAUAUUUUCUUGCACUCUCUGCCUUCAUUAUUUAGUAAAAAGAAUUUUUUUCCUUUGAGUGGAUUUCACUUGAAUAUAACCAGAAGACUCACAACUGAUUUUGAACAUCUUGAAGGAACGUAUUAGGCAAAUAAAGUGCACUUUGGGGUUUCCAUAUUGCUGAGUUGAAAGGAAGACAUUUUCAAAUUGGUACAUGCUUGGGAAUGCUAAUGAGCAGUCUUGGAUAUAUGUCUAAAGAGAGAAGUUAGAAUGCUAGUGGGUAGUCAUCUUCUGCAGGCUGUCUGCCUAACACUAGAUAAAAAAAAUAUUUUGAUUGAAAAAGCUUCUUCCUCUGUACAGGGUUUUUCUCUUCCUUUUCCUUUUUAUUUUUAUUUUUUUAAUUUUCCUUUAGUUAAAAAACAAACAAACAAACAAAAAUUUUAAUCUUCCUUGCCCCUUUUUUUUUUCCUUUGAACUAGUAAUUGGGAAAUAACCCCACAUAUUUUUAAAUAUUCGUAUAUAUAUCUGAUACCAUUGACGUUUCCUCCCAUGCAUAUGGUCCAGUCUGUCUUAUUACUUUUUCUAUCUUUAAGAUAAAGACCUUUAAGACCUGAUGACAGCUCAUCACCACUAGUAAAUCCCUGAGCUUUACUAGUGUUAUGCUGGAGGUUCUUCCAGGCCUGAAGUACUCUAUAUAUUUGCCUCCCUCAAAAUGAUGCUAUCAACCUGUAAGACAAAGAACAUCCUAAGAUGCCAAUUGGAAAAGCCUAAAUGUUUACUGGCAAUAUGUCUCUUUUAGAACCUUUAUAGGUGAAUUAUAUGCAGAUAUAUAGAUAGAGGUUUUAUUGAUGCAUCUAUAUAAUCAAUGUUAUGAAAAGAUAGGGUCCAAAUAUCAGACUGUAAGAGAAAAAAAAAAUGAAGAUGUCAGCAUGGAAAAAAUGAUAGGAAGAUUUAAAAAUAUUUAUAAAACAGGAAAGAGAGGAUUAAUUAAGAGCAUGGAGAUUUUCCAUUAUCUUUAUUAAAGGAGUUUAUAUUGAUCCAACAUUGGGAAAAAUAUAAAUGGACAAAAAAAAAAACCAAAAAAAAACUGCUGAGUGAACAAUGAAAUUAUAGUUUCUUAGUUCUGGACCAUCAAAAAGAAAAACCGGUAUCAUCCAAGGUUAAAAGUGACGUAAAACUCCUAAGUGGCCAUAACUGUCCAAACAGGAAGGAAUGAUGGAGUAGUUCAAUUACACCGAACAUAAAUUAAAUACAUUUGUCAACGAAUUCUAAUGGCAAGAUACAGUGACUUUUAUGCAAGUGAAGUCUCCAGAAGUAACUUUUCAUAUAGAUUGACUAGAAGUUUGAGCAGUAUUCAUUAUGUGGAGGAAUCUUUCAGAAGGCAGUAUCACCUUGUAGUUUUCCUACAAUAGGCAUCGUAAUGAGAACCAUCCAUUCUUUUAAAUAGAGCACCCAUACUUUGCUUUCAACAAAAUGGUUAUCUCAUUAUUUUACACGAAUUGUUUCCAAACUUUAUUUCUUUGUAUAAAAAAAUAUAUAUCUGUUAUAUAUUAUGUAGUUGAAUAUGAUUUUACCAUUAGAGAUCUAUACAUCUGGUAUUGCCUUCCUGAAAUCUGUUUUAGUCAUAAUAUAAAUGGUCAUGUUAAACAGUCUUUUGAAAAUGAUCAUGGUAAUGCAUCUAACUUUAUUGAAGUUGUCUUAUGAAGUUAAAAUUAUUUGCUAGUCUCUUUUCAGCCCAGAAAACAAGUUUCUUCUGUAAUCAUUCCAUUACUUUUUAAAAGAGAUCUGACAAGCAUAAACAUUCUCCUUAUCAAACUCCUGAUUGAGAACUGAACUUCUGCACUGCCAGAUAGCCGCUUAUCUUCAACCAACAUAGCAUUCUAAAAAUGUAGCUGGUUGCAGUUAUUAAAAAUUACAUCUGCUGAAGUCUCAGCCCACAGAAUACACCAUAUUUUAUUACAAGACUAUGUCUUCUAGAAAGAUACUUCCUAGUUUAGGAACUGCUGUAUCACUGUUCAACUGUGAGAGUGUACAGGGUAUUGCAUACACCCACAUACAUAUCCAGGACCUCUUACCUAACUACAUUGUUUUUGUAACAUGAUUCUUCUGGUGACUGAAGAAAAGAGACAAUGAGAAUAAAGAAUGCAAAGGUAGAAAGUGUUGCUCUUGAAUUACAAACUAUCAUAGGAUUUCACAGGAAUAAUCUUUUAAAAUCGAGUUAUUGUAGCCUUAGUGCUCCAGUAGUGUUAAUGUGGUUUUAAAGUGUCAAAUACUCAAUUUAAAGGCAUCAAAUAUAAUGUAUUUGCAUCACUAAUUCAUGAUAACUACAGCUAAAACGGGAGACUUUAAGUUCUAAGUCAUAAGCAUCAGGAAUUACAUUUAGGAACAGUAGAAAGUUCAGAUUUCACCCCCUUCAAAGGUCAAAAAGAAAUAAAUAAAAUAAGACACAGCCCUGAACUUUUAUUAAAGCCAGAUCUUGCCUUUUUAUGGUAUUUUUACCUGAGAUCUGUACAAACAUUAAUAACACUAAGUUCUGUAAGCCUUUCAGUCUCCAUUUAACAGAUAGAAGAAGAGGAAUAGAAAAAGUUACUGUCUAAACUCCCAGUGGUACUACUUAGAUGCUACUAAGACAGCACUGCUUUGUUUGAAGUAUUACAGAAUAGCCCAAAUUCCCAAUAAAUUUAACAGAAAAGAUUAAUAAGCCAUUACUAAUGGAGGCAGAUCUGAAGUUACUGAAGAUGCACCCUUAGAAAUUAACCGUCAUGUGCAGUCCCUCACUGGCAAUAGGAGUGGGACUAGAAAGUUCUAUUUGAAUUUUUGUCUUAGAAUUCACACUGAGGAAUGAUUCAGCAUGUAACAAACAUUGGAACAGAUAGCGUACUCUCUGUAUAUACAAAGUAAAGAUUGAUUUGCAGUUUGGAUUUAGUUUGCUUAGUGCAAAAAUCAACUUAACCCAGAUUAUUCUGAAUAGUCAGCCUCUUUAAAGCCAAGCCAAAUUAGACUAACCUAGACAGCAGGUUAAGUCCAACAGCUUGUAUUGGCACUUUGUAAAAUGUCAGCGCAUUAAUUCCGCUCCUUAACUUAUAUACAGAGCUCUCUUAAAAACAUAUUUUUAUCUAGAUCAAUAAUGUACCUGAUAGAAAAAAACAACGACAAAAAACAAAACAAAACAAAACAAAAAAACCCACAUAUGUCUGUACCUUGCAACAGAAUACGCUGUAGGUACACUUCAGUUGUGUCAGAGCACAUAUAUACAUGUGAGUACAAAUGUAAGAAACACCAACUGCAUCAGAUGGAUGGCCUAUCUAGCCUAGUAUUCUGUCUGGCACAGGUAAAAUUACUUAGGAAGAAUAUGCAAACCCUACCAUUUCCACUGGUGGUCUCCCAGAACUCAAAAUAAUUCAGCGGGUGAUGCUAGAAGGUAUAUGUGUGAGUAUCCUGCUUUAGUUUCUGUUUAUGGAUAUUUGGCCAUGAAUUUACCAAAUUCUUUCAUGAACUUUAUGAGGGAACUGGGAUUGUUUGGACUGGAGAAGAGGAGGCUCAAGGAAGACCUUAUUGCUCUUUACAACUGCUUGAAAGGAGGUUGUGAUGAGGUGGGGUUGGCCUCUUCUCCCACAUAAGUAGCAAUACAACUAAAGAGAACAACCUCAAGUUGCACCGGGGAAGAUUCAGAUUGGAUAUUAAGAAAAAUGUCAUCUAAAGAGUGGUCAGGUGCUGGAAUGGGCUGCCCAGGGAGGUAGUGGAGUCAUCAUCCCUGGAGGUGUUCAAGAAAUGUUUAGACGUUGAACAAAGAGUCAUGGUUUAGUGGGGAAAUGGUGAUGGUAGGUGAACAGUUGAGUUAAAUAAUCUCAGAGGCCUUCUUCAACCUUGGACAUAAAUUACCCGAAAAGGUAAUUUCUUUUAUUUACCAGAUCCCAGUGUAAUGCAGAUAAUUUAUCAGAUCCCAGUUUAAUGCAGAUAAUUCCCUCAGUAUUUCCAUAGCCUCCCUCAACAUUCUCAUGAGUUUCAAAUAAGAGAUCAGGAGCACCUUAAGAAUGGUAGAUAGGCCAAAGUGCUAGUGGUGUAUAUUUUAUUGAAGCAUUGGCUUUAAUGUCAGUUUACCAGUUCAUUUUUCCCAAAGCUGUUUUUCACUAGAGUAUAAUAAUUUUGAUCUCUUCAUACUGUCACGGCUUCUUGGUGAAUCUUGAAAAUAUCACAAGGCUAAAUGAGAUCUUAGUUUACCUUUAAAUAGAUUCAAGCAUCUCUAAGACAAAUGUUGUUUAAAUGUGGAGCAGAAAAGGUCUCUGGAAAAAAUAUUUGGAUCUCUGCUGAAGCCACAGCAAGGUUUUCCAUUUCUCCAUUAAUUCAGUAUUCAAGUGCCAGAUUGAAAAUGACUCUUGCUUUCCCUCACAAGGACUACUUUAAAAUGAAAAUGACACUAAAGUACAAGGCAGUAAUUUAUCUCAGGGUGUCUGCUACAUUUUAAUCCUAUUUAUGUCUCUCUUUUCUCCUAUUUACACCAUUCUUCAGUGGCUUUCAUAUGUUUCCCUAAGGUUGUUCACAUCAUGAAAUUUCUGUGGUCUACAUGCAGGGCAAAAGUAUUCAAAGGUAGAUGAAUGUGGAAACCAGAAGUGUUGUCUAUCUUACCUGACAUGCCUCAUGACUAUAGCAUUUAUAGAAGUUCAGCUAUAUCAACCAUACUUGGGAGUAAUAUCAUAGAAUUAGUACAGUGUAGCUCUUUCACAAUCUUGAGAAGUAGUGGACUGUUCCUCAGCUCACAGCAGCACCUGUUGUAAAUAAAAUAGGAUCCUACUGAAGUACUGAAAUUUUAACAAUGUCUUAAUCUGUAGAGAAGAAUGCCCCUUUCCAGCACAAAGAGUAUAGAAACCCAAAUGUAAGUGGAGGAGAGAGCCUGUGGAAUAUGAUGUUGCAAGUUUUCCUCUUGAAACCCUCAGGAACUGUCUACCAUUCAGGCAAGCGUGUAAAUCCUUUCAUCUACAUAGCUUCAGUAGCCUCACUACCAUCUUAGUCUUCAAAACAGAAGUGAACAAAACAGGUCUUCAAAACAGAUCCACCUAUACACGUAUGAACAACACAAAUGAGCCAAAUCCUGUUGGAAGUUGUAGAUUUUCAGGACUUGACAUGAUGGUGCAAAACUUGUUAAUUCCUUACAUUUUUUUUCUCAUGAAUGACAUGAAAAUUUCUCUUACAUACUGCAGUUCUAAAAGAGUGCAAUACUUCUGAGAAGAGAAAGAACAGUUCUUCAGAUUUCUAGCUACUAGAAAAAUUGGAGAGGAAAGAUGCCAUUUUCUAUGAGAAAAGAAGGAUCAAAUCAUCAUUUCCACCAUUCCACAGGGGAAAUGGAAAAGUACAACAUCAGUGAAGCAUUCAUUCUGUACUGAACCACAAUUUGUUUUGCCAAACACUGUGCAGAACUUGAAACUCAAAAGCUGGAAAAACCAGUGCCCAGCACAUGCCUCCCUCCAAAUCUUAUAAGGAUAUUAUGAUAAAUUCAAUGUGGAAGUGCCAUUCUCAGUACUUUUUUGAGUAGGAAAAUUCCCAGAGGGAAAAGAAUAUAUAUAUAAGAAUAUAUGUAUACAGUGAGAGUCAGAUUAGAAAUCUUGUUGUCAGAAGGCAGGACAGAGAUUUCAGAUUGAUCUAGUGAAGGCUAGAGAGUUUCUCUGAGUUAAAGCUAAGGGAGAAAAAAAAAAAAAACAAGAAGAGAAAAAGCACACUAAAUUUACAUGGAGCUGUAGGAUGUAAAUCCAACCUACUUCAAUAGUUUUUGUAGACAGUCAUUUGGAAGAGGGAUGCUAUAGCCAAGAAUGCUUUAGUUUUGUGGGGGAAAAAAAAAAAAAAAAAAAAAGAGCAGCGUUGUUGUUGUUUCAGUUUGCAGUUGUUCUUAUUGUUUGUUUCGUUACCUUAACUCAGCACCAUGAUUGCUUCUAAAGAAAGAAAAUACGUUGGAAAAUCAUAUAAAAGCCACGUUGAUCUGGUCUGUUGUGCUUUCUUUAAAGGGACAGCUCCAUACUUGUUUGCUUUUUCUCCUGCUUCAUAAAUAUAUGAUGAUUUAAAAUGUGCAAUAUGAGGACAUUAAUAAGAAUUAUGUGUAGGAUAGAAGGGGGCAACAGGAGGCAGACCUCGCUGUGUAGAAACUGCUGAGUCUUAGGAAUACUUAGGGCCAUAUUUCUUUUCUGCUGUCACAGGUAACUGCUUGGAACUGUUCUCUCCUGAGGGUGCACAUAAGGCUGGCUUCAUUCUUUACUUACAAUCUAUAGCUAGAUAAGCUGGUAAAGGAAGUGAACCAAUUUUCAGUUAAUGACACUAAAACAAGACUGAGCCAAAAACAUAAAAGUUGUGCUUAGUCUUGAAUUUUUAUAAAAUUGAUUCAGAUAGUCUGACCUAAGCAUUGCUAUUAACAUAGCUGAAUUCAAGGAGCAUAUAUUCAAAGCAAACUUUGAUAUUGAAACUAAAUUAAAAUUGAUUUUGUAAUGGGAAAGCCUUGCAUUCCCUCCUUAGUUAAAAAUCUCACUUCAUACUAAGUAGUCUGGGUUUGACAAGUCAAGGAAAUAAAAUCAGUUAUUUGGGAUGGCAGGCAAGAUCAUCAUGAAGGAGAACUGUGUGGACACAAGAUUAUUGAUAACAAUAAAAAAAUGUAUCACACACAACAUACCAUUCUUUCCUUUGCAGUUGUGCCAUUGCUAGGCAACUGAAAAUGGAUGAGUAGAUUUUAGCUGUAUAUCUAUACCCUUCAUUUGGAGAAUCAUGAAAGGGACUUCUGAAAAACAAACAUCAUGUUUCUGAUCAGGAUCCAAUAUGGCUUUACUGCUACUGAGGACUAGAAAAUGUAUUAUUUCCAAUACUAUAAAUUUUGUUGAUAAACAUCACAGUAUACUUGUAAGACUUUUAAAACAAUGCAGCUUUCUGUUUAGUAACAGAAUAUUUUCUUAAGCAGAUUUUUAUGCUCUCAUUUUUUAUUCACCAUAUUGUAGUAUACAAGUUGUGUAUCCUAUACUUCAUGAAAUCACCAUUGGUGAGUAGAGAGCAUAGUUACUCAGCACUUAAGUUAAAAGUACUCAUAAAAUUUACUUCAGUUGGGACUGUUUGUAUUUCUAACAGGUGGUAACUCUUUUUGCUUAAGUAGGUAACUUAAUGACUUCUCUGUCAUUUAAGAUCUACUGCCAUUCAACACUCAUUACCUUUAAUACAUGCUUUAGCAAACAUUUAACUUCUUAGUUUUAACACUGUUGCAACAGUAAGGGAAGAAUGACUGCUACCAUAACGUUGGCAGUGGUUGAUAAUUUACACUUCCUCUAUAGCCUACUACCCCUUAAUAAAUAAAUAAAUAAAAAUAAAAGAAAGAAAUAAAGAGAGAAAUAAAAAAAAAAAAAAGGAAAGAGAAAGGAAAAAAAAAUCCACUCCCUUGAUAAUUAGUACCCUUUGUCAAAGCUUCAGUUACAAUUUGACGAGAAAAUAUUCCUAAAUGUCAAGAACCAUGCAGUCUGAUAAAUAUGGAUGACAUUUAAAAAGCAGAGGAGGUAGUUCUACAGAAGCAGAAGAAGCAAAAAGAAAUGCAAUAUGUAUUUACGGAAAGAAACAGUUUUUCCACCAUGUAUUCUCCUCAUAUAUUGACUGUUUUGUACUCCUGGUUCUUCUUUUCAAGAGCACUGUGAAGCUUUUGUCUCAUAUCAAAUGCCUUAGCUGCAUUUCUUCAUUAUAAAACAGCACAUUUCAACAGCCCAGGUCUUUCCACUUGUAAUCACUCAGUAUAAUUGAUUGAGAAGAUAGAGUCAGAGAAUCCUCCAAAUAUUUUAAUUCUUCAGAGUUGUUUAAAUUUAGCAAAAAAUGACACCCUGAGAAAAUGAAAUGGCACGUACUCAGAAAUUGCUAACUGUGAUAUAGAUCAAUCACAGCCCUUGGUGAUUACUCUUUAAACAAGUCUGUCUCACAAGCAGAUUCAAAGGAAUUGACCUUCUGAAUGUUAACAAACAGAAGGCAAGAUUCUCCACUUCUGACAACUUUAAAAUCUCUCUUGUUGGAAAAUCUGAAAGACAAAGCGUUUUUAGCAGGUGGAAUUAGAGAACUACGUUCUCCAUAUUUACCACUCUAGGGGUACAGGUAUUUUCAUUACUAAAGCCUUUGUUGGAACAAGACUCAUUAAGAAAGCUAUAAAAGAAUGGAAUAUUAUCGUGUAAUGAACACCUAAUUGAAAACUAAUGUGCAAUGAGAAAGAAAUAAACUUUGUGACGAUAGGAUUAGAAAUGUGUCUGACUACAAUGGCAGUAUUUGUAAGAUAGGAUGACAUGAAUUCAUCAUCUUCACUUCCAGAUCUAACAACCUCUCUGAUCUGAGAGCAUCAAGAAUGUAAAUGCAGUUAAACAACAAUUCCCCAUCUUAAACAACCAGCACUGAGAUUGUGCAGGUACUCCACCACUGUACUACUAUAGUUGCUUGGGUUUACUUGGGCAAUGGUAGUAGAAAAAAACAUAUCCUAUCCACUGUGUUAACUGUGAAGUAGAUGAACCAUACUUCCGGCUGGGUGUCUGAACUCUGUGAGGUUCCCUACUCUCUGAGCUACUCAACUAAGGCUACUUUUCUCAAACUUCUCAAACUGAACAAAAACCAUCCUGUAACACUGCGAAAAUGUGGUGGGAAAUUUUUCCCUGAAUCAAUUUCAUGAAGUUCCUAACUAUGUUUGACGUGUUUGUGAGGAUAAGAUUUAAAAAAAUACAUUUAUUUCAUAGUUAAUUUGAAUAUCAAACAAUGUAAAAUAAAUCUUGCUCAAAUUACUGUGUUAAUGAGUCUUGACCUUUAUUUUAAACUGACACAGCUUUCAGAUGAAGGCAGUAGUGUAAAGAACAGUUAUCACAAAUAUCAAAAUACGCUUACAUUUUCAUAUAUGAUCCACCUACCAAGAGUUUACUUAAUAAUCUUAAAGCUGAUGCAUAGCUCAUUAAAAUUGCUGCCCUUCAACCAUCUCUAAGACCUCCAUUGGUCUGAUGCACUAUCUCAAGUAUAUCUCCAACACCAUAUAGUUGGAAUCUCCAGUAUUUUGCACAGGAAAAUUACUGUGGUAUCGAUUCCAGAGUAACAAGAGACCCUCACAAAAAAUAUGUGGGAGAUUUACUGAGUGAACCAUUUCUGUACUCACAGACAGUUCAAUACAAUUUUUAAGGCAAUUUUUUUUUUCAUGCUCUUGCAAGUAUGAAGUUGGCCUGAAAACUUUUCCAUUGAUGCAUAUUGAAGGAAAGUAAGAGCCAUAGACUGUAGCAUUGCAGUGCUUCUCUGGUUUACAAGAGUGUUACAGUCUGGCCUCUGACAGAAAGGUAAUGCUUUAUUGGCAAAUAUUACUUAAAGGAGGAAUUUGUGUAUGAACACUGUAGUGGAAUACCAGGGUCACAGCCUGAACCAAUGGAUGGGCUACAUGAGUGUGUGGGUAUCUGGAGCGGGGUCUGGAGCCACCCCUUCUGUCUCUGCAAUACUUCCUGUGCAGUUUGAGUCUGCGCGGGUCCCCCUUUUGCUCCUGCCCCUCUCUCCAGCGGUGCGAUGGUACAAACGGAGGAGGCUCACUUUCCUCAGCUCAUCCCUCUCUCCACACUGUUACCGGGAGGGGUGAGUCAAUUCCUUUUUGAUAUCUUUUCCUCUAGUGCCUAUUUCUUAAAUAAAGGCUCUGUCAUUGCCUUCACUUGUUCUACAGCCACUGAAAAAAAAUGCACAGAACCCUGCAAAAUAAAGUGUAUUCAUACGUAUGCAUAUUUCUCUAACUGAUAAAUAAGGGAGAACAUGUAGAAAGAGAAAAAAAAAAAACGUGUAGUACUGAGUUUUUUUAAAGACACAGAUCUUCAAGCCCUCUCAAAAGUGCUGCAUCCAACCUUAU